rnacentral:rRNA from 1 species
GACGUGACUUCAGAGUUUGAUCCUGGCUCAGAGCGAACGCUGGCGGCAGGCUUAACACAUGCAAGUCGAACGGGCACUUCGGUGCUAGUGGCAGACGGGUGAGUAACACGUGGGAACGUACCUUUCGGUUCGGAAUAAUUCAGGGAAACUUGGACUAAUACCGGAUACGCCCUUCGGGGGAAAGAUUUAUCGCCGAUAGAUCGGCCCGCGUCUGAGUAGCUAGUUGGUGAGGUAACGGCUCACCAAGGCGACGAUCAGUAGCUGGUCUGAGAGGAUGAUCAGCCACAUUGGGACUGAGACACGGCCCAA